UAUAAAUCCUUGCUUUUCUUCUGAGUGUGGAGAACUAUAGAUAAAUAUGCAGAUGAAGAACUAGCCAGGAAUUCAACUGAGAAUAGUUACAGAUUUCUAUUUCCAUGACUAAGAAGCAGAAGCAAGACACUGGACCCGUAGUUUCUUCUGCAGAGUGUGAAAAGAGGAGAAAGGAUACUGAGGGGAGAGGACAGGGUAGAAAAGGCACUGAAGAGUCACAAAUGGAG
rnacentral:lncRNA from 1 species